GACGAACGCUGGCGGCGUGCUUAACACAUGCAAGUCGAGCGGAAAGGCCACUUCGGUGGUACUCGAGCGGCGAACGGGUGAGUAACACGUGAGUAAUCUGCCCCUGGCUUUGGGAUAGCCACCGGAAACGGUGAUUAAUACCGGAUACGACCACUUCUCGCAUGGGAUGGUGGUGGAAAGUUUUUUCGGCCAGGGAUGUGCUCGCGGCCUAUCAGCUUGAUGGUGAGGUAAUGGCUCACCAUGGCUUCGACGGGUAGCCGGCCUGGGAGGGUGACCGGUCACACGGGGACUGAGACACGGCACAGACUCGUACGGGAGGCAGCAGUGGGGAAUAUUGGACAAUGGGCGGAAGCCUGAUCCAGCAACGCCGCGUGAGGGAUGACGGCCUUCGGGUUGUAAACCUCUUUCAGUAGGGACGAAGCGCAAGUGACGGUACCUGCAGAAGAAGCACCGGCCAACUACGUGCCAGCCGCCGCCGUAA
rnacentral:rRNA from 1 species